AUAGAAGAAAUAAAGAGAAGAUGAGGGAGACUAUUCAGGGCAGCUGCAGUAAUUUAAAGCAAAGCUAAAGUAGAAAAUUUGGGGGAAAUUAUUUAAAUUUGCUAUUCAUCUUAAGUCAUGAGGCUGUGCUUUCAGAGCCAGCCUCCCGCUAACUUUUGGCUUCAAAGAUGAAUGAACAAAAGAUUGAGGUUUCACUCUCAGUUUCAGGGCCACUUUUUACGUAGCCUGAAAUUCUAAAAGUAGUUUUGAAGUGGUUUAACUGCCUCACCUUACUUCCCUUUUGUCUAUCGCCUCUGUGUCUUUUAUGGUACAUCUUUUCCAUCCCUCAAGUAGUGAAAUUACUGCUUUGUUGCAAGGGGCAGAUAGCAUUGUGUAAAGCUACUGCUGUGUUCCAAGGGGCUGAGGUGGAGAGAAAAGGUUGUUAGGUGGUUGAGCCAGUAGGGUGGCAUAGGAUACCCCUCAAAUGCUCCUACACAUGAACAUUGGCCCCAGGCUCCUGGCAAGACAUCCAGCAGCAAUAAUUUAUGACAGUUUUAUAGAGAGCUGGGAUGAAAGGACUGUCUUGUGUCAUGGCUGUAUUCCUCAGCCGGAAUUUGGUUGGCGUACGCACGCAAUGUGAAGUCAUCUUAUUGUGCUCAUAUUUCAAAGGCAACACAUGGAACAGUGCCCACUCUCCUGACAUAUCUGAAUUUGCCAGCGAAGAGUUUAGACCGUUUGUUUGAGCAUUAACAUUAAGAGCACAAAAUUGCCAAGAAGGGAAAACAGCAUGGCUUAAAGCAAACAAAACAAAACAAAACAAAAAACCCCUAAAUUCACAAAGGUUACAAAGGUAAUAUGAAAAUAGAUUUAAAAACUCAUAAAUUAUCAACAGCACUGGAAACUUUAUUCUCUUACACUUACUGAGCACUGUGUGGUACAGGAGGUCCUUGGCACUCAUGGAUUUAACAUUUGUGGUUUUGGUUAACAAAGAAUGACAUGUAGUAAGUGACAUGAGCUAAGAGUUUGGCGUGGAGAAGUAAACGAGCAUAGCUGACUACGAGCCACCAGUUUCACUGUUGUUCUCUAGUCAUCCUUGCAGUAACACUUGGGAAGUGAUAAACCCCAUUUCUUUGUAAAAAUGAAGCCCUCCUCCAAGCCAGCUGCUUUUUCUGGAGAUGUUAUUGAGAGGUCUAGAAAAAUGCUGGCUACAGUGAGUAGCUUUAUAAGUGAUUUUAAUCCUUUACAAAUAGAUAAAUUAAUGCUAGGAAAAGAUAACUUUAAAACUUCAGUUUUAAAACUUUAUUUAAUGAGGAAAAUUGUAAGCAACAAUGGUAUUCAAAAGCACUUAGGAUAUUUUCCUCGAGAAUGUUAAAGCUCCAUUUUAGGUUAUGUUAGAAUGAUUCCGUAUCAAGUAACUGAUUGUGAUCAUCCUUUCAUAGGUUUACCCAUAGAGCUGUAUAUUAGCAUCCUCAUUUUACAAAUAAGUGAACACAGAGUUUAAAUUAUUCUCAGUUGAUGCUAAGACUAGACUCUAGGGAACUUAAUUUCUCAUACAUGACAUGGCUGAUUUCAGCUCGAUUAGAGGGGACCUUAGAGAUUUUCUACUUCACUGGCUUACUGGUUUUCAGCUACACCCAGGGGGCAUUUGAAAAUAUGUGGUGUGUGUGUGUGUGUGUGUGUGUGUGUGUGUGUGUAUGCCUUUCUGUGCUUAUGUAGUGGAAUGGGUGGUGAAUGUUUGUCAUGAAGACUGAGGGGUGCUUCUGGAAUUUAGUGGUUAGGGGCAAAAAUGAAUGUUCAGGACUGUUUGCACACUAGAGAAUUGUCUCACCCCAAAAGCCAAUGGUGCCUCCACAGCACUGAGUAGUUUUCAACAUUCUCAUUUUAAAGGUUUAGCUAUCAAGAUCCAGAGAGGAUGGAUCACUUAAGAUUCCAUUGGUUUGCAAGUGACAGAAAAUUCAAACUUACCUGAGCAAAAAACGAAAUUUAUUUCAUGUCUCUGACUUCAGACACAGUUGACCCCAGAACCCUGUCUCUUGUCUAUCUGCUCUGCCCUCCUCUGGGUAGGCAUUAAACUUAGGGAAGUACUUCCUUCUGGGGCAAGAUGGCUGUUAGUAGCCCCAGGUUCAUACUCCCAUCACUCCAGUUUCAGUGCAAGGUGAGUACCUGUCCUCUGAGCAACAGUUCCACAAAGUCCUUGGCCUGACUGCCAUUGGCCCAAGUGGAGCUCUGGGACCUUUGCUGAUUCAGUCUCUGGGCUGGUGGAUGGAAUGCACUGAUUGACUUUGGCCUGUGGCUCACGCCCCUCCCUAUAGCUGGGAGAAGUGUCAGCUUCACCAAACCACAGGAAUGAAGGCAGGGAGGAGGCGGUUGUCCAAAGGAAGAUCUAGAAAAAGAGUGCCGUACAAGCAAGAGCAACAAACGUCCAUUACAGUAGUUCUGGAGGCCAAAAGUCCCAGAUCAAGGUCAUAUGGAGCUGGUUCCAGGUGGUUUCCUGAGAAGCUAAGGGAAGAGAAGACUUAGACAUUACUAGAACCCAUUCCUCAAGACACUGUAUUCAGACAGAGGUGAUUGCAUCCUUUGAAAGCCUGUUUGCAUAGCAGACAAUGAAGCUGAGCAGAGAAAAACAAGAUGAGAGACAGAUGGAGUAGGAGACCUGAGAAGAUGGCUUGAGUCCAUGAAUUCUGGUGUUCCCUAGGCCACAUUUGCCCCCAUCCUUCCCAGAUUUUACUUUCUACUCUUGUCAGUCAUAUCUGCAAGGCUGACAGUUACCAGGGGCUGUGGCCAGGCAUGAGGGAGAAUGUGUCAUUGCUGGCUGCGUUGGUCAUAGCAACGUGUCUGCCUCAGAACAGAUCCAGCAUGGAUGAGCAAACAGAAAAAUGUGUAAGAAGGCUUGUGACUGAAACAGACCAAGGGUGAGAGAACCUUUGUGGGAGCGCAGAAGUCCAGCAGAGAGACCCUAGCACUUUAUUUGGACCAAAAAAUAAAUAAUAAAUAAAUAAAUAAAUAAAUCCAAAACUAGAUGCAUUAAAGAAGGUUAGACUUCUCCUAUGGAGAAUGCAGCAAGAAAAUACCAUCUUGAAGCAGAGAGCAGCGCUCAUCAGGCAUCAGUCCUUCUGGAGCCUUGAUCUUGGACCUCCCAGCUCCAAAAUAAUAAGUAAUAAAUUGUUAUUGCUUAUAAAUU
rnacentral:lncRNA from 10 species